CAUAUUUUGAAUGUGGAAGUGCUUCGGGUUCAGGUGUUUGAUUGUGUUAUUUAGACUACUAGGAUUACUGAUAUAACUAUGUGUUAUUUAGACUACUAGAAUUACUGGUUUUAGUAUGUGUUAUUUGGAUUACUAGGAUUACUGAUAUAACUAUGUGUUAUUUGGACUACUAGAAUUACUGGUUUUAUUAUGUGUUAUUUGGAUUACUAGGAUUACUGAUAUAACUAUGUGUUAUUUGGACUACUAGAAUUACUGGUUUUAUUAUGUGUUAUUCGGACUACUAUGGUUACUAGUAUUACUAAAUGUUAUUUGGACUACGUAUGUAUUAGUA
rnacentral:lncRNA from 1 species